CGUGGACGGACGGGUCGGCCAGUCACCGAGAAAACACGAAAAACGAUAUUGCAUCGCUAAAUAUAAUAUAGUGAAAGAUGAAUAUCCAGAAGUCUGAACAUCUCUUGUCAGCAGUUAUAUCAGCUGAACUUUCAUCAUCUUCAAAUUCACAAGAAAUGUUUAUAAAUCAAGAUCAACAGGAUUAAGAAGCAUCUGAUUGUCCUUUAUUAACACCUAGUUCACCACCUAUGCAAACGGAAAAAACUCCACAAUUGACGCCAAUAUUCAAUGCUCUGGAAAGCGUCUCAUUAGAGAUGAUAUCCGCACCGAUGCUUGAGAAUAUUAAUACGAAAGAUGGAUUUAAUUUCAUAAAUAUAAUGAAUAAUUCGAGUAAACCUUUAAAUGAUGGUAUGUUUUUCUUAAUUAUUGUAUACACAUUCAGCAUAUUUAAACAUAUAACUAACUCAUAAUCUUUAAUAAUGUUAUUUAUGUAUUUAUCACUAUUUAUAUGCUUUUUAUCAUUCUUCUUGUUUUAUAUUU